rnacentral:lncRNA from 12 species
CUCUAACACUGUGCUCUAGGCAGUAUUUCUUCAAUUGUGCUCCUCUAGCCAUCUGCUUCAGUAUCAUCUGGGUUGUUCGUCAGAAAUUCCGAUUCCCAGGCCACACACCCAAAAAUAUGAUUCAGAGCUACUAGGUGGGGGUACCUGACGUGGUUUUUCUGCACAGCCAAGCUUGAGAAUGAAUCUCUCUUCUUGAGGAAUGUGAGCUGACCAUCUUUUAUUCCCAGUCCCGAAAUCCAGAAAAACUGAAAACUUUGAAAACUGAGGUGACAGAAGCAGUUUGCUUCGGUGGGAUCCAGUGUCCAUCCACUGUCACGCAGAGGACGCCUGGUGGUAGA